GAUGAAUGCUGGCGGCGUGCCUAAUACAUGCAAGUCGAGCGAACGGACGAGAAGCUUGCUUCUCUGAUGUUAGCGGCGGACGGGUGAGUAACACGUGGAUAACCUACCUAUAAGACUGGGAUAACUUCGGGAAACCGGAGCUAAUACCGGAUGAUAUUUUGAACCGCAUGGUUCAAAAGUGAAAGACGGUCUUGCUGUCACUUAUAGAUGGAUCCGCGCUGCAUUAGCUAGUUGGUAAGGUAACGGCUUACCAAGGCAACGAUGCAUAGCCGACCUGAGAGGGUGAUCGGCCACACUGGAACUGGGACACGGUCCAGACUCCUACGGGAGGCAGCAGUAGGGAAUCUUCCGCAGUGGGCGAAAGCCUGACGGAGCAACGCCGCGUGAGUGAUGAAGGUCUUCGGAUCGUAAAACUCUGUUAUUAGGGAAGAACAUAUGUGUAAGUAACUGUGCACAUCUUGACGGUACCUAAUCAGAAAGCCACGGCUAACUACGU
rnacentral:rRNA from 1 species